GCUCCUCUUGAGAGCGGCGGACGGGUGAGUAAUGCCUAGGAAUCUGCCUGGUAGUGGGGGAUAACGUUCGGAAACGGACGCUAAUACCGCAUACGUCCUACGGGAGAAAGCAGGGGACCUUCGGGCCUUGCGCUAUCAGAUGAGCCUAGGUCGGAUUAGCUAGUUGGUGAGGUAAUGGCUCACCAAGGCUACGAUCCGUAACUGGUCUGAGAGGAUGAUCAGUCACACUGGAACUGAGACACGGUCCAGACUCCUACGGGAGGCAGCAGUGGGGAAUAUUGGACAAUGGGCGAAAGCCUGAUCCAGCCAUGCCGCGUGUGUGAAGAAGGUCUUCGGAUUGUAAAGCACUUUAAGUUGGGAGGAAGGGCAGUAAAUUAAUACUUUGCUGUUUUGACGUUACCGACAGAAUAAGCACCGGCUAACUCUGUGCCAGCAGCCGCGGUAAUACAGAGGGUGCAAGCGUUAAUCGGAAUUACUGGGCGUAAAGCGCGCGUAGGUGGUUUGUUAAGUUGGAUGUGAAAUCCCCGGGCUCAACCUGGGAACUGCAUUCAAAACUGACUGACUAGAGUGUGGUAGA
rnacentral:rRNA from 1 species